CUUCCCUGCUUUGUGCGAGACAAAAUAAAAAAUGUACAAUUGGUGACAAAGGGACAUGACCCCCUUAAGCAAUUGUAGGCCCAGAAGUUACAAAGCAGGCCAAUUAGGGGGCGGUGAUUUGCAUUACAAGAAGACCCUUUGCUUCAUACUAGGAGUUCUCAGUGGGCUGCAAUAGGUUGCGCCCCAGGGGGGUUAAAGAUUCAAUUUACAGAACAGUGAUUCGCCCACAACUCUCCCACAGCACGCCCCUUUGUGUAAACGAGUGCAUCUGUACUGACUUUUGACCAGCCUCCCAGUCCUGAGAUUUGUUGUUUCGCAAACGACACAGGCAGUCCUUACACUAGCUCACACGCACACACGCCUGCUUUGCCGUGCCCUGCCAAUUUCUCAAAAACAGAAGAUGCGGCUCCUCCCCAGGCUGGCACCUGGCUUUGAAGAUGUUGGAGAUGCGGCUGAUGGCCUGUGUUCCUGUAAAGAAGGGCAUCUCAAAGUCACCUGCCGCACCAUGUAAGUGCUCAGAUGGCCAGGAACCUGCUCGGUGGAACAGCCCAGUGCAGAGGUCGGGAGACGAGCCAGGGGGAAUUAACCUGCCCAGAUCACACACACGCACAUGGAACUGGCAGCAGACUUCCCAUGCCCAAACCCAGUCUUUGGAUUGUGGUCUAGCACUGUCUGUCUGAAUGCAGGAGGCCACACAGCACUGUUGGCUGAAACGUUAUCAGCUUAUUCUCCUUGUGCAUUCUGCAUGCGAUUCCACGCAUACUCAUUUCCACUCUAGAGCAGCCCUGUCGUUUGGAAGGCCCGCUCCACGUGAUGUGCCCAAUUACUUUGAUGUCUGAAUUAGUCAUUCUGUUUCUCUAACAGUUUCGCCGUGGAUUUUUCCAGAGACAACACGAUGUGAUAUCACAACAGAUUGAAUGCAGAAGCAGUUACAAGAAUCCAGCUGUCUUCUAUUAAGCCUGACAUUAAAGAGAUUUACAAAAACGUAAAACAAUGUCGCUCUUCUUACUAAUCGUUUUU